GUGGUUGUAGCUCACUGGUAGAGCACUUGCCUUGCAUAUGUGAGGUUCUGGGUUUGAUCCUCAGAACCACA
rfam:Ictidomys tridecemlineatus contig002335, whole genome shotgun sequence.